UCUGCCUGGUAGUGGGGGAUAACGUUCGGAAACGGACGCUAAUACCGCAUACGUCCUACGGGAGAAAGCAGGGGACCUUCGGGCCUUGCGCUAUCAGAUGAGCCUAGGUCGGAUUAGCUAGUUGGUGGGGUAAUGGCUCACCAAGGCGACGAUCCGUAACUGGUCUGAGAGGAUGAUCAGUCACACUGGAACUGAGACACGGUCCAGACUCCUACGGGAGGCAGCAGUGGGGAAUAUUGGACAAUGGGCGAAAGCCUGACCCAGCCAUGCCGCGUGUGUGAAGAAGGUCUUCGGAUUGUAAAGCACUUUAAGUUGGGAGGAAGGGUUGUAGAUUAAUACUCUGCAAUUUUGACGUUACCGACAGAAUAAGCACCGGCUAACUCUGUGCCAGCAGCCGCGGUAAUACAGAGGGUGCAAGCGUUAAUCGGAAUUACUGGGCGUAAAGCGCGCGUAGGUGGUUUGUUAAGUUGGAUGUGAAAUCCCCGGGCUCAACCUGGGAACUGCAUUCAAAACUGACUGACUAGAGUAUGGUAGAGGGUGGUGGAAUUUCCUGUGUAGCGGUGAAAUGCGUAGAUAUAGGAAGGAACACCAGUGGCGAAGGCGACCACCUGGACUAAUACUGACACUGAGGUGCGAAAGCGUGGGGAGCAAAC
rnacentral:rRNA from 1 species